rnacentral:rRNA from 1 species
GAUCAUGGCUCAGGAUGAACGCUGGCGGCGUGCCUAACACAUGCAAGUUGAGCGAUUUACUUCGGUAAAGAGCGGCGGACGGGUGAGUAACGCGUGGGUAACCUACCCUGUACACACGGAUAACAUACCGAAAGGUAUGCUAAUACGGGAUAAUAUAUUUGAGAGGCAUCUCUUAAAUAUCAAAGGUGAGCCAGUACAGGAUGGACCCGCGUCUGAUUAGCUAGUUGGUAAGGUAACGGCUUACCAAGGCG